GGGAGAUAGCCUUCUCUUCAAGAACAAGGUUUUAGCACUAAGUUUUUGGGUUUUGGAACCAUAAUAAAGAAGAAAUUGAGAAGAAAGACUAAAGAGUUAAUUGUAGAAAGAGCAUACUAAUUUCAGGAAAAACCCUAAUUUUAGGAUUUGUACUUAAAAAGAAGAAUUGAAAGAAAGAAGAAACGAAAAUUCCAAUUCAAGAAACCUAAAUAGAGCCGUGAGUUGAAAAAAAAUGGAUAUGGGAAAAACAAAAAGAAAAGUAAUUACAACAAAAGAUUGUGAAGAUAGAGUCAUAGGAGAGGAAGAUACAGGAGAAAGAGAAAUUAUAGAAAAAGAAAGAAGAAGGAAAGAAUUCCAAGAACAUGGUUUUCGCAAGAACAUGAAAUAGAAGGAAAAAAAGGGAAGAAAUUUAAGGGCAGAAGGAAGAAAGAAAAUAGAAUCGAAGAAUAUCGAAAAAGAAAGGAAGAGGGAAAGAGAGAAAGAGAUAAAGAAGAAGAGAGAAACCUG
rnacentral:misc_RNA from 1 species